CGGAUUAGUUUUACUAUUUUAAUUUCUGCGGACAACGCUUUUUGGGAAUGAACGGAGGGCCCCUGGGGAGCUGCACAGCAACCAGGGGAGGAACUUCAAGGUGCAGGUGUUCAGCAAGGUCUGCCAGGAGCUGGGGAUCGUGAAGACCUGGACCACCCUCUAUCACCUGCAGAGUGACAGGCUGGUGGAGCAGUUUCACCGUACCCUAGCCACACAACUGGCAAACCUCAUGGACGAGCACCAGUGCAACUGGGACGUCUACCUUCCCUUGAUCCUGUAGGCGUAUGACACAGUGGUGCAGGAAGUGCAUAGUGCACGAGCUGGCCAGGAACCAUCAUGGGGCGGCCGCAAGCAGACAGAAGAGGGCAUAUGACGUCUGCUCCUGGGGACAGUCCUUCCAGCCCGGGGACCCUGUUCGGUUGUACUGCCUCAUCAGGAAGAAGGAGCAGUCACCCUGGCUCGACAGCCACUGGACGGGCCCUAAAGAAGGUUCUGGAACAGAUCUCCAAGGUGGUGUACAGGGUAUGGAUGCCUGAGUGGUGCAGUACUAUUAUGCUGCACCAUGACCACUUGGCACUGUACCAACCUCGGCCCACUUGGAGGAGCCAUCGCCACUGGUGGUGAGUACCCCGGCAGCAGGGACUGAUCAGGAUGGUGGAGGACUGGGGGGCUCGCAAUUGCAGAGGACUCGCCGCUGUUCGGAGCACUUCCAAGACUUUGUGGAGGUUCCAGGACAGAUAACCCCCCUGGGGGGGAGACAGUGUAGCGCGGAGGUACUGGUGGGCAGUGUGGCAGGUUGGACUGAUGCCAGCCAUGUAAACAGUUCUUCAUAGUCACUUGUGUUGUAUGUAAAUGUGCUGUGUUGUUAUGCCACGUGUAGUGUUGACAGUUUAUUGCUGUACAUAGUGUGUUGGUGUGUGUGUGCUCCCAAAUUAGGAGUGAGCUGGGUGAUGGGCACAGUGAGCAGUGCUAGUGCUUCACAAUAUGAAUACAGCAUGGGGACAAUGGAAAAGCAUCAUAUGUUGAUGUACAAUCGACCUAUGUCUACAGAUUAUUUGUUGCAUUUGACAUUAUAUGUUGCCAUUUUGUAUUAAAAUUGUAGUGUUUAACUUGUGCAGCAUGUUAGUUUAAAGAAAAUAAAUGUAGAAAAUGUA